UACGUAGGGUGCGAGCGUUACUCGGAAUUACUGGGCGUAAAGCGUGCGUAGGCGGGUCUUUAAGUCAGGGGUGAAAUCCUGGAGCUCAACUCCAGAACUGCCUUUGAUACUGAAGAUCUUGAGUUCGGGAGAGGUGAGUGGAACUGCGAGUGUAGAGGUGAAAUUCGUAGAUAUUCGCAAGAACACCAGUGGCGAAGGCGGCUCACUGGCCCGAUACUGACGCUGAGGCACGAAAGCGUGGGGAGCAAACAGG
rnacentral:rRNA from 1 species